GUACCAUGCUGAAUAUACCGGUUCUCGUUAGAUCACCGAAGUUAAGCAUCAUUGGGCGCGGUCAGUACUUGGGUGAGUGACCACCUGGGAACACUGCGUGCCGUU
rnacentral:rRNA from 1 species